AGUUAAUGAACUUGUAUAGUAUAUGUUUUGAAAACAUAAUGAAGAGUAGAUUCUCUAUUAACUU
rnacentral:tRNA from 1 species